GUACCCUUAGUUCAGUUGGUUAGAACGCAAAACUGUUAAUUUUGAUGUCGCAGGUUCGAAUCCUGCAGGGUGCG
rnacentral:tRNA from 2 species